rnacentral:rRNA from 1 species
CGCAGCCAGCUGCGAGAUUUGGUGUGAAUUGCAGGACACAUUGAGCACUGAUUUUUCGAACGCACAUUGCGGCCUCGGGUCCUGCCCGGGGCCUCGCCUGUCUGAGGGUCGGAUAAGACUUGCAAAGGAAAUUCAUUUUUCCAAUUGGCCGCGUCGGUUACCUUCUUUGGAAGAUGAUCGUCGGCUCAAGUGCUUAUAGGUUCCUCCCCGGUCGAGAGAGCAUCGCCCUAGAGCAAGCUCGUCGCUCGGAGAAGACGGACCACGUUUCUCCACGAAGACGAGACGGCUUGAUGCUGAAGAAGACCAUAUUUAUGGGGAACAGAGUUCCUACUGGGUACAUUCRUUUGUCCCACACUAUGCAUUUUAUUUUGACGACCUCAGAUCAGACGAGAUGACCCGCUGAAUUUAAGCAUAUC